rnacentral:lncRNA from 1 species
GGACCUGCGGGAGGUGCUCUGCGACCGCCCACGCCCCGGCCCGCGGCGCGUCCCGGACGUCCACGCUUGCGUUUCUGCGGAUCGUGGGAAUCCUUCUGCGUGGGUCUGUCUCACACCUUAACUUGAAGUUAGUGAGAUCCGCGGAGUUUUAGAAAUGCUAACCGAGCUCAGGUUUUGAACAUGUCUGGGACUGUGAAUUGGCUGCCAGAAUGAAGUGAGUAACUGCUAUCUAAAGACUGUUAAAAUCUGAUGGGAUAAACAGGUUACAUGGCAAAAGCAGCCAGGCUGAGAGAACCAUGGAGCUCUGAAGCCAGUCCCAAGAAGAAGCAGAAGACAUAAUACAAGCAGAAGACAGGGAGAGAAUAUUCUACGCGUAUAUACACAGGCUCAAAACAGUUUAGGCUAAUCCCUACGGGUAUGCUGCUGCCAAGUUGGUUCUUUUACUGUGCUCAUCAGAAGUGCCAGAAAAAUACCCGCACCCGCCCCCCAUUUAGCCUCUGGAAGAAGAUGUUCUAAAGGGCUCACAAACAUCCAGAUGUAGCUCUUACCAAGCUCCAGCGUCAGAAGGAGUGCCUCAGCGUCUAAGUCCGUAUAUACACACACGGCUUUUCAUGCAUCCUCUGCUGGGGAGGUCACAAUCUGAGGCACCCUUUAAAGCCACUUCUGGGAGAAAAGAAAGAGAAAAAAAAAAAUCAACCACUGAACGUCUAGUGAGCUGUUUCCUAAGGAGGCAUCAACAAACUCCUACCAGCCCCAGUCCUCAGUAACGUCAUGAGAUGGGCUGCUUGUGGUUGUCAAAACUGAUCUUCCCACUGCGGGUGAACACGUACGGCGGAUUGUUAUGGCUUAGGGCGCUUGACUGCACCGCUGUGAAAAUAUUCAGCAGAAUUCCACAAGCUCUUUGUUUGCCUUGCCUUAGUGGAAAUUCCUCCAGCUAUCCAAACACGCACCUGGGGGAGGUGUUUUUUUUUUCCCCCUCCACAUUUCAGGAAGGGGUUUCUUCUAAGUAAAAAUGUGUCCUUACCUCUCUUCUAAGUUCUCAGGCAAGACUUCUGGUUUGAGUUGAAGAUGACUAUGAAUGUGUUCUGGUUGGAAAGGGAGGUGGAGUUGGAGGAGCCGGAGAGGUCUGUAGCAAAUGUUCCUCCAACAGAGCUAAGCUGGGAAAAGGAAAGCCAAUGGAAGCCAACAAAGAAGGAAGCACGAAGCAAGGCUCCCCCAGAUUCCUAGAAGCCCAGGAACACAAAAGCCAGGAAGAUGAAUCGUCUUUUACAGUAGUAGACCUGUAUAUAGGAACGGGGAAGAUUCUAGGGUGAAAGAUCCGGGCUGCCGCUGGUCACCCAGAAGGGAGUAUGUACCUUGAGUUUCGUAACACGGAAUGGAAGUUUGGAGGCCCCUUGAAAAGAACCAAAGCACAAAGGAAGUUGGGCCUGAAGAAGGCUGGGAGACCUCUCACGCAGAGACCCAGGGCUCAGGACAGAGAAAGGAAGGUAGAACGCCAAGUGGAUCUCAUAUUUGCUCUGCGGGCUUCUGGGAAGUGUUUGAAAACAUUCUAUUUAAACUGUGCCUCUUAAGAGAGCUCUCCACUUACAUCUAACUCAGUGUGCUCAUAUUAGCAAAUAGAAAUUAUGGGAACAUUCCAAGUGCUCCCCGCCUUCCUGGUCCUCCCUCCCUGACCCCGAUAGUCUGUCCUGCCUGGAGUCUGGGCGAAUGUUUGUUUCUGAGGGAUGGAAACUGAUUAAAAACUAGAAGGCUGCUUGGGAAAAAUUU